GACGAACGCUGGCGGCGUGCCUAAUACAUGCAAGUCGAGCGGAGUUAUUCCUUCGGGAAUCGCUUAGCGGCGGACGGGUGAGUAACACGUAGGCAACCUGCCUGCAAGACCGGGAUAACAUUCGGAAACGAAUGCUAAUACCGGAUACGCAGUAUCCUCGCAUGGGGAGACUGGGAAAGGCGGCGCAAGCUGUCACUUGCAGAUGGGCCUGCGGUGCAUUAGCCAGUUGGUGGGGUAACGGCUCACCAAGGCGACGAUGCAUAGCCGACCUGAGAGGGUGAUCGGCCACACGGGGACUGAGAAACGGCCCAGACUCCUACGGGAGGCAGCAGUAGGGAAUCUUCCACAAUGGACGAAAGUCUGAUGGAGCAACGCCGCGUGAGCGAUGAAGGCCUUCGGGUCGUAAAGCUCUGUUGUUAGGGAAGAACAAGUACCGGAGUAACUGCCGGUACCUUGACGGUACCUAACCAGAAAGCCACGGCUAACUACGUGCCAGCAGCCGCCGUAACAC
rnacentral:rRNA from 1 species